rnacentral:rRNA from 1 species
AGUGAACGCUGGCGGUAGGCCUAACACAUGCAAGUCGAACGGCAGCACAGUAAGAGCUUGCUCUUACGGGUGGCGAGUGGCGGACGGGUGAGGAAUACAUCGGAAUCUACUUUUUCGUGGGGGAUAACGUAGGGAAACUUACGCUAAUACCGCAUACGACCUACGGGUGAAAGCAGGGGAUCCUCGGACCUUGCGCGAUUGAAUGAGACGAUGUCGGAUUAGCUAGUUGGCGGGGUAAAGGCCCACCAAGGCGACGAUCCGUAGCUGGUCUGAGAGGAUGAUCAGCCACACUGGAACUGAGACACGGUCCAGACUCCUACGGGAGGCAGCAGUGGGGAAUAUUGGACAAUGGGCGCAAGCCUGAUCCAGCCAUACCGCGUGGGUGAAGAAGGCCUUCGGGUUGUAAAGCCCUUUUGUUGGGAAAGAAAAGCAGCAGGUUAAUACCCCGCUGUUCUGACGGUACCCAAAGAAUAAGCACCGGCUAACUUCGUG